rnacentral:rRNA from 1 species
AUUGAACGCUGGCGGCAGGCCUAACACAUGCAAGUCGAGCGGAGCGGGGGACGGGUGAGUAUUGCCUGGGAAUCUGCCUGUUAGUGGGGGAUAACUCCCGGAAACGGGCGUUAAUACGGCAUACUAUCAGUGGGGCCUAGGUGGGUUUAGCUGGUUGGUGGGGUAAAGGCCUACCAAGGCGAGGAUCGGUAACGGGUCUGAGAGGAUGAUCAGUCACAUGGGAACGGAGACACGGGCAAGACUCCUACGGGAGGCAGCAGUGGGGAAUAGUGGACAAUGGGCGAAAGCCUGAUCCAGCCAUGCCGCGUGUGUGAAGAAGGUCUUCGGAUUGUAAAGCACUUUAAGUUGGGAGGCGUUACCAACAGAAUAAGCACCGGCUAACUUCGUGCCAGCCGCCGCGGUAAUUC